rnacentral:lncRNA from 1 species
AUGCCACAUGAAUCUUGCUACAAUUUUAAAGAUAAAAAUGAAUUACCUUCCAAUACCUAUAAUAGCUUAUUAUGUUUUUAAUACACUUUUAUUUAUAAUUCGAAAAACAAACCACAAAAUGUUUAAACAUUUUCUAUUGAGUGAAAAUUAUAUAUUAUAUUACAUGUUAGGAUUUGGUUUAAUUUAUUUAAUUGACUAUUCAUAUACCAUAAUAACAAACAUUUGUAGAGAAUUAAACAUUACCUUUUUGUUUAAUAAGAGUAAAAGAGGUUAAAAAGAAAAGAAUAAUUCAAACAUAUAUGCAUAGUUUUUUAUAUACAUAAUUUUUUAUAUACAUUAUUUAUAUAUAAGUUCAGCUUGUUUAUGGCUUUCUAAACUUAACUGCAAUAUUAAUACGAGUGCAUAUGCAUAUAUAUAUAUCAAAUUUUUAAUUUUUCAUUAAUAUAUUUAUGAUCAUUGUUUUCAUAUUUUUACUAUUUUAUAUAUUUGCUUACAUCGAUGUACGCUGGUUAAACGCAUUUGAAAAAAAAAUAUAUAUAUAUAUAUAUACAUAUCAGUAUCUGUAUAGUUCUAAUAAUUUUUGUAAAAAUUAGUUUAUUUAUUUUUUUUUAAUAUUUUUUACAUAAUUUUCAUGCAUGUAAUUAUGUUUAUGUGUUCAUGUAAAUAUGAGCUGUGUCCUAAGUUCUAAUAAUAUAUAUACAUGUAUAUAAAGUUUAAAGUGCAUAAAGAAACAACUUUGUUUUGGAAUUAUUAAUUUACUUUUGAAACGAAUAGCAAAGUUUGUGAAAUAUAAAUUACGACUGUAUCUUGCUAAUAGGGCAAAAAUAUGCUUACUUAUUGUUCAAUAUGAACUUUUAAAAAAAUCACAUUCUUUAUUUUAAUAAUAAGCAAAAUAGUGAAUUCUUCUUUUUUUUAAACGUAUAUUAAUAACUAUCUUUAUUUGUUCUUUGGUUGUUUAUUUAAAAGUAAAAUAUGUCAACUGGUUUAAAAAAAAAAAAAAAACGAAUUCAGCAAAUAUAAUUUUAAUUAAACAAUCAAUUUUUUUUUUUUUUUUUGUAGUCGUAGUAGCAAUAUCUGCGCUGACAUUCUUUGUACAACCGUAAUAUAUAAAUUUAAAAGUGUUUUGUGCGAAAUUUAUAUAUAUGUACGUAUAGAUAGAUAGAGAUAGCUGAAAAAAUUUUAUGUUUACAUUUUUGUAUGUGUUAAAUAAUAUUUAAUGUUUAUACGGAUAUAAAAAGAAAAGAAAAUAUCAUUAAACAUAUGUUUCUAUUUUAUGAUAAUAAAAUAAAUUGAGUAAUUAACUAAACUGUAAAA